AGUCGAACGGUGAAGGAGAGCUUGCUCUUUGGAUCAGUGGCGAACGGGUGAGUAACACGUGAGCAAUCUGCCCUUGACUCUGGGAUAACUGCGGGAAACUGUAGCUAAUACCGGAUACGACCUUGGAAGGCAUCUUCUGGGGUGGAAAGAAUUUUGGUCAAGGAUGAGCUCGCGGCCUAUCAGCUAGUUGGUGAGGUAAUGGCUCACCAAGGCGACGACGGGUAGCCGGCCUGAGAGGGUGACCGGCCACACUGGGACUGAGACACGGCCCAGACUCCUACGGGAGGCAGCAGUGGGGAAUAUUGCACAAUGGGCGAAAGCCUGAUGCAGCAACGCCGCGUGAGGGACGAAGGCCUUCGGGUUGUAAACCUCUUUUAGUAGGGAAGAAGCGACUGGGUUUUCCUGGAAGUGACGGUACCUGCAGAAAAAGCACCGGCUAACUACGUGCCAGCAGCCGCGGUAAUACGUAGGGUGCAAGCGUUGUCCGGAAUUAUUGGGCGUAAAGAGCUCGUAGGCGGUUUGUCGCGUCUGCUGUGAAAACCCGAGGCUCAACCUCGGGCCUGCAGUGGGUACGGGCAGACUAGAGUGCGGUAGGGGAGAUUGGAAUUCCUGGUGUAGCGGUGGAAUGCGCAGAUAUCAGGAGGAACACCAAUGGCGAAGGCAGAUCUCUGGGCCGUAACUGACGCUGAGGAGCGAAAGCAUGGGGAGC
rnacentral:rRNA from 1 species